rnacentral:rRNA from 1 species
CCUACGGGGAGCAGCAGUGAGGAAUAUUGGUCAAUGGUCGGGAGACUGAACCAGCCAAGCCGCGUGAGGGAUGAAGAUACAGAGUAUCGUAAACCUCUUUUGUCAGGGAACAAAGGCGGGGACGUGUCCCCGGCUGAGUGUACCUGAAGAACAAGCAUCGGCUAACUCCGUGCCAGCAGCCGCGGUAAUACGGAGGAUGCGAGCGUUAUCCGGAUUUAUUGGGUUUAAAGGGUGCGCAGGCGGUCUGUUAAGUCAGCGGUCAAAGCCCGGGGCUCAACCCCGGCCCGCCGUUGAAACUGGCAGUCUCGAGUUGGAGAGAAGUAGGCGGAAUGCGCGGUGUAGCGGUGAAAUGCAUAGAUAUCGCGCAGAACUCCGAUUGCGAAGGCAGCAUGCCGGAUCCACACUGACGCUGAGGCACGAAAGCGUGGGUAUCGAACAGGAUUAGAUACCCGUGUAGUC